GGAUGCAGGAAGAGACCCACCCCCACCCCCCACCCCCCGCACAGCGCGCGCGUGUGCCAUGGCUGUCAGACCUGUGAAAUUGGCUCCUAGCAAGGCGCUUAUGACAACUAUCAAGUCCCUUUUAGUGGCACCUUAGCCAGUAUCAACACUGGACUAUCCACUCCUAAAACCUACCAACAUUCUAUCCCAAAAAGGGCCUUCAAACAACCCUAAAAACUCGCCUGGACUCAGAAAGCGCGCACCCUGAUAGUCACGGUGCUGCUUCUAUCUGCCAGCUCAAGUCCCCGGAUGUAGGAAUGCCCAAGGUGGCUCUGAGAACCUCAACUUCCUGGAUUCAGGAUGAGCGGCCUGGCUGUUUCCUUUCAGCUGUGACUGAUGAAUAGCUAUCCAUCCUCCUGUGACUGAAGUUGCAGCUUGGUGUUGUAGUAGUCUCGUACUCCAGCCCGUGACAUGGAGCUACCUCCACUCAUGGCUAUUAUUAAAAUCAGUCUGCAUUUCCUAAGCAUAUGCCACUGACAGCAAGAGGAAGGCAGUCCACAGGCGACAGAAUGAACAAACAGGCCUCAAGGAGGAAGGGUGUCCAAGUCAUAAGAUCUCAGGCGUCUGCACCGGAAGGGGCCUCAACUAUCACCAGUAAUGCUGCUCUCACAUUGUAGAGAUAAGCAAACUGAAGCCAAAGAGAUGAAACAAUCUGCUGACAGCCACCCUCUCAUGUUUGAUUCCAGUAUCACACCUUAUCAAACACUGUGUCACACAGAUUCCCAAAUGGGUCACGUUUUCCGGCCAUCCUAAACAGCAGAUAGGAGCCUCUAUUCUUAGGCAGUGCUUAUUUUCUCCUUUAUUUUUAGUCCCAGGCCACAUUAGUGAGACUGCUAAAUGGCUGGAGCUUCGAGAUGUAAAGGUUAUGCAAAUGACUUAUAAAAAAACCCACAACACAGCUGGAUGUGUUAGAGCAUGCUUCUAAUCCCAGACAUGGAAGAUUGAGGCAAAAAUACAGCAUGUAAAAGUCAGUCUGGACUAAAGAGUGACAAUAGUAAAAAGAAAAGAGAUAGAAAGCAGCAGGGGAAGAGGAGGAGGAGCAGGAGAAGAGGAACAGGAAAAUUAUGGAAUAGUCCUUGACAUGUUGAAUUAAGAGCCAACAAUAGCGUGGUAAAUUAAAUGUAGAAAGCUAAAGUGUCAACAAGUAGGUGUCGAGCAUUUCACAUGUGCCUGGGAUUAUUACAGAUAUCAAGAUAAGUGAGAAUUUCUAUAUUAGAAUAUGAAACCUGUUCUAUAGAACAUAAAUAAAUCCCAAGGUAGAACAGACCCUUUGAGGAAGUAAACAAAGAUGUUCAAGUGGAGAUAAUUAGAUUCAAGAAGCAUUUUCUGAAGCACUUGUUCUACUCUUUAUUGUUCAUGGAGUCAGAAAGAUCACGUUAGGAAGUACCACACUGCAUCCCAAGUUCGAUUGCUAGUCAGAUCAUUAAUGCACUAGACCCCGUGAUGAUCCCCCCAAAAUGAGUCUGAUGGGGUCUUCAGUUUAAAAUCAGAGACGAAACAAAAUGAUACGACACAGUGGCAUUUAGUUAAAGGAAGAUUGUGGAGCUAGGUUUGGGAACAUUUUUUUUCCAACUCGAGUUCUGCAUGUGAUUUGUGACUUAGCUACUAAAAACGAUCACAAGGCACUCAGCUAUAAGAUGCUAUGGGAACAGUAAAUAAUACCACAACUGUGAAGAGAAAUGGAGAAGUUAUAAGAAAACUGGGAUGAAGGAACAUGAAGCUAGAGGAAAAAAAAUGUUCUUUAUUUUCACAGCCAUAAAUCAGACCACCAUGCAUGGUUCACACAAAGGGAAUUCAGGACCUGGGAAGCAAGUCCAAUAUGGAGGAUGAAACCAUGUAUUAGGAGGUUUUUUUUUUUUUUCAACAGCCAAGGGAUCUAAAGAUCUAAAGGGAGUGUUCCCCACAGGACCUCCCCCUUCUAGAAGACAUGCCAAAAAACUAAUAUUUCAGGCCCUGUGCCCCAGCUAUAUCAACCUGCCCAAGCCCAGAUGGGAGAUGUAUCAAGGACAGCUCUUCACUCUGUAACAACCCCACCACUUGGGGGUGUUAGUCAGUGGAGCCGCAGAGGACUUCUUGGUAAAAGGAAAAGUAGGUUAGUUUAAGGUGUCUCAGUCAACACAGGAAAGGAAAGGGCAAGUCCUAGUGUGUGCAUAGUGGUGCGCGGGCAACUGUCUUCUGAAGUCUCUGGCAAAGCCCAGAACCCUGGGGAUCCAGUGAUGGUUCUUACUGUCUGUCACAUGGUGACAGGCCAUGCACUGCACAACACUUCUCCACAAGGUUCUGAUGGAAUCGCUCCACUCCUGGAUAGGAGUGAAAGGUUGCAUCUUUCUCACCCAUAAGGACGCAUACAGUCACAAUACCAUCAUUUAUUUUGGGACCGGGGGGGCCUUAAACUCAAGAUAUACAUCUGCCCCUGCUGGACCUGGCUGGGGGAGCUUUUUAAAAAGGGAAAAUCAAAUUUCAUUUGCAUUUUAUUCCCUGGUGAUCAUAUUUUUAAAAAGUCAAUACUGCCUUCAUUCUCUCUAAAACUCACUUACUGAAAUAGAUUGACUUUAGAAGUCCCAAAACCAAAUAGCAGAUCAUGGCACACAGGGAAUAAUUAAAAGAGCAAUAUGCUCUAAGGUCUCCAUUUCAUCCUCAGCUGUGUACUUUCCUCUGUGUCACAGCAUGCCAUUUAAAAUGUUCAAUCUGACUGGGACUUUGGGGCACAUCUCUGGACUAAUAGCUGUUACGUUUUUCUUUCAUUCAGAAGGGUCUGCUGAAUCCAGAUGUGAAUCACUUCUCGAAUCCUUAGGGCUGAGAUAAGAAUAGGGGUGGACAUUUAUGAUUAUAUUUCAUAAUAUAAUGAAUAUAUAUAAAUAUAUUUCUAUCUAUCUAUCUAUCUAUCUAUCUAUCUAUCUAUCUAUCUAUCUAUCUAUCUAUCUUUCUAUCCCUUCUACCUUUGAACAAACAUACUGCUUAAAGCAUUCACAGAGAACAUGCUUAACUUGUACACUUUGUGUGUGGGGGUGGGGGUGGGUUGUCUUUCUGAAAGUGGCAGAGCUAAAAGCACGGCUUUGGAGCCAGGUAGUCAGGGAUUCUCGACUGCAUGCAGUUAACUUCCUUGAUCUCUAACAUUUGUUGUCAGUGAUGAGGAUCAAAUAUAGGUCGCAUACACGCCAGGAAAGUACUAUGCAUCCCAGAUGCUUUGGUGAACCCCUACAUGACCUCUUUGGAAUCAAAGCCUAUACAGGAAGCCUGAGGGCAGUACAAGGGCUCUCAGACUUCACACACUUUCUGCACACUCAGGAACACUUAGCUAUAGGGCUGGGUGCUUUCUAGUGAUAAGGUGUAGUUUUUCAUGUUUACUGGCAAAAUGAAUGAGGUUUUACGUUACAGGGCAAUUUAGGAUACUACUAUAUGGAGCAAUGCCUACUAGAUACUGGGAGGAGAGGACUUAUUGUUUAAUAAAAUAAUAAUGACUUACUGAGUGCCAGCACCAUGCCUUGAAAACCAUUCAAACUGCUAUAGGGUGAGAAAAGAGAUAUAAUUACAGUGUAUUACUCACCAUCCCUGCUCACAAGAGUUCAAAGGCUCAAGCAAACACCACUGGACAUAGUACACAGGCAUUCCCUUUGCUGGAGGGGAGGGGUGGGUUGCAGCUGAGUGGCAGAACACUUGCUUAGCAAGCACAGGUCCUGGGUUUCAUCCCUAGUACCACAAAAAGUUCCCCCUUUAACCUAAGCUGCAAAAUAACUCAUAUUUUACCUCAGUUCUAAAACUUUUAAAGAACUUCAGUGAAAUGUAUCAGAGAUAAUGAAUUCCUACCAGAAAGGACAAGGUUUAAAAGAGGAUAAGGUUUAUUAAAGAAGGGGUGACAUUAUUUAUGGAAAGAUGAGAAGAUGUAUUCACUUUUGCUAAAGAGGGUAUGGCUUCUGGACUGAACAUUUUCUGUAUUAACUCCAACGCAAAAAUCAACUUGAGUGAUUGUCUCAAAAUCCCAAUACAUGCAUGUCCAAUUUCUAAGACACUUAAAAUUCUUUACAACCAACUCAUCAUUUUUUCCAAUAUUAAGACAACUCUAGGGGUUGGGGAUUUAGCUCAGUGGUAGAGCGCUUGCCUAGGAAGCGCAAGGCCCUGGGUUCGGUCCCCAGCUCCGAAAAAAAAAAGAACCAAAAAAAAAAAAGA